UACGUAGGGGGCUAGCGUUGUCCGGAUUUAUUGGGCGUAAAGAGCGUGUAGGCGCCAAGUAGGUCCGGUGUGAAAACUCGAGGCUUACCUCGAGAUGUCAUCGGAAACCAUUUGGCUAGAGUCCGGAAGAGGAAAGUGGAAUUCCUGGUGUAGCGGUGAAAUGCGUAGAUAUCAGGAGGAACACCGGUGGCGAAGGCGGCAUCCUGGACCGAGAUUGACGCUGAGGCGCGAAAGCCAGGGGAGCAAACGGG
rnacentral:rRNA from 1 species